UUUUGAUGGCUCUAAAAAAACCCAUUAGUUUGGUGUCGAGAAAUACUCGUAAAAUCGUCAUCCGCAGGGCAAAAACCUAUAAAUGUGGUUUCGCCACCGUACUGAAGCCUUCUUUUCUUCAAUCGGUCAUUUUGCUAUCUGAGUUUCCAAACUAUUCAAAUCAUCCAUGGCUGAAUGGUCUCAUCUCCCCAAGGAUCUCCUCUACCUCAUUUCCCAACGUCUCCAAAAUCCUUUCGACACCAUGCGUUUUCGAUCCGUAUGUUCCUCGUGGAGAUCUGUUGUCUCCCCUAAACGCCAUACAUUACCUGUUCGAUUCCCAUUUCUUCCAAAUCACGGCAUAUCAGAUCCCACUUGGGGUUUCAAUCUCACCAAGCGCUCCAUUUUCCGUGUUGGCUCUCCCAUGGAUCACUCAGACGGCUGGUUGAUCAAGGUCGAAGAAGAUGCCUGCGGAAUGAUCAAAAUAUCAAACCCCCUCUCUAAAUCUUACUUCAAGCCCUUGCCUAAAAAUUUCCCCAAGGUACUAAACUUGUUGAAUUUUCCGGUUUUAGAGCUUUGUCAGGAAUAUGUACUGCACUACCUUAAUUUUUGGCCUGUGCGUCAUCGCCCUGGCGAUGCUGGCGACUUGUAUAGGGAGAAGAUCGCUUACAAGUGUUUGAAUUACGAUGGUAGUCAAUUCGUUUUGGUUACUAUUCAUGUUUCUGGAAAAUUAGCUAUGUUUAAAUCGGAGGAUGGGCAGUGGAGUACGAUUCAUCACACUGCAUUACCUUAUGAUGAUGUUAUUUUGUUUAAUGGGGAGUUUUAUGCUGUUGAUAAUUCUGGGGCCACCUUCCUGGUGGAAUCUCAACAUAAGGUCACUUUGAUUGCUGAACCUGUAUUUGGUGGCGAUAAGAAGAUUUUGAUGGAAUGCAAUGGGGAAUUAUUGUUGGUUGAUAUGUAUUUAACAGUAGACUCUGAAGAGGGCUUUGGUUUGGAUGGUGAACCUACUGAAGGUGUUCUACAUGAAAAAACAGUUGGGUUUAAGGUGUUUAAGCUGCACCGUAAUGGAAGUAAGAAAUGGACUGUGGUCUGUGACUUGGGUAACACAAUGCUAUUCUUGGGGGAAAAUUGCUCGUUUUCUGCAUCCGCUUCAGGGGUAUCUGGUUGUAAAGGAAAUUGCAUAUUCUUUACUGAUGGUUUCCUCUGCCCCAAUGUGGAUGAAGAUGAUGUGUUUAAGGGUAGUGACAUUGCUAUAUUUGACUUGGAGUUUGGAACCAUAUCACCUUUAUCUGAUUCUCCUAUGUAUUCAAGAUUGUUCUGGCCGCCCCCAAGUUGGAUCACAUCAACGUCAGGAGGAAGCAGUAUUCAUUCUGAAGGUUUGUUGCGUUUUUAUGUACUGUCUCGUUUCAUUCAUUGCGACCUUUUUCUUGUAUUUUGUUUAAUGAAUGUAUUUUGCUUUUCCCCUUUCCUACUGAGACAUUGCAUCUUUGCGUCUUUCAUAAUGAUUUCCAGUGAGUGAUUAAGCUGCUAGUUUGGUCAACAUAAGCAUAGCUCAAAAGCAAUUGACCUUGGACACUUCCCUUGAGGACGUUUGGUGAACUUUUGUAUGAGUGAAAAAGUAGUUGAUGAAGAAAAAUAGAAAGGAAAAAUGAGCAAUGACCAGAAUUUCCCCUCUACGGUGAGAAGUGAAUGAUUAACUAAAUUGAAAUGGAUGUCAAAAGAAGAAAUAUGACCAAAUUAUAUAUUUGAAUUACACUGUCUAUAGGCCCUUCAAUAGGUGUAGAUGGAGGAGGGGGCUGGGUGGGAAAUGGGAAAUGCGCCCUUCAACUGUGUGUUGGAUCAAGGGGGUCAUUCCUUCAGCUAAGUUCUAUAAGAUGGUCAAAGUGGUUUUCUGGAUGCUUCUGUGUUCUCUGUAUGAGUUCUAAAUUUAUAGGCACUUAUUCAUUGAUGGUCAGUUUGUGAUGGAAUGUUGUGGAAUCUUCUCAACACCUUUGGUGUUUGCUUUAUUUUUCCUAACUAGAUUCAAUUCAAGACAUGUUCUUUCUUCUUGA